AGAAAGUUGCAGUUUCGCGGAGAUUAAGAAAAUAUGAAGGGACAAAUGGUGGUGGAAACAACUGUAAAGGUGGCAGCCGAGGAGUUCUGGGAUGCGUACAGGGAUAUUAAGCGUGUGAGAAUUUUGCAUGAAAUAUUAGGAGAGAUGGUUGGCGAGCCUCGAGUUGAACAUGGCGAUGGAGGUGUUGGUACCAUUGUCAACAUUGCUAACCCACAAG
rnacentral:lncRNA from 1 species